UCAAUAGCCACCUUCAGAUUCUCCUAUUUCUACCCGCACCCAAACCAAACCGUUCAGUAGACCUUUUCCGAAGUUAAAUCGAAACCCAUACCCAUACCCACACUUCUUCAAUCUCAGCACGGCCGAAGCUCAACCCAAUCUGUCUUCGGAGUUAAAGGAUUGCAAACGUAUUAAGAUAUGCAGCAAGUGGGAAAUGUGGAUCCUGGACCGACGGUUCGUACACAGUUGACGCGGCAGCCGGUUCAUCGAUCCACGCUGCUUUGGGAGACGCCAGCCGGUCAGGUAGUGCCAGGCGUGCUAAACUGCAGACGCCGAAGUUGCAAGUUACCCGAGCAUGGGCUUGACCCACGGAUUGCUCGGUACAUAAAUGAGGCGGGUUUUGAAGGGUUAUUCAAGGUUCCAAACUUGGAAGUGGAUCAUGCGUUGAUCACAGCACUAGUUGAGCGUUGGCGUCCGGAGACGCACACAUUCCA